AAGAAUUUUUCAUACUGCUCUCUAAACGAUUUGAGCUCACGUUUGUAAGCAUUUGUCGAAGUCAGUUUCGAUGUCCUCAGCAGACAUGAUGUAUUGAGAGUGGUGCGCCAUGUGCCUGGUAUGAUUGUGCAUGUUGCCAUGUCUUCCACAUCUACAGAUGAAGGAUGAAGGAUAAGGAAAUCCAAAUUCUGCCUACACUGACUGACGCAUCUGAGACUGACGAUAUAGAGGAUGUGGAUUCUCCAAGUUCUCCAAUUGUUCAACCACAACCAAA